UCAGUCCAACGCUAUUCUACUGGCCUGCAGAAGCUUGGAGCUCACAAAAGUUUGCCUGACCCCAUCCGCGUCGGAUUCGCCCUUGUUGAUAUUUGGAUCAGGCCAAUCCAAACCAAUCCACACACUUACUUACCUCCACGGUUAGAAAAGCAACUUUGAGAGAGAAGUAACGAUGGGGUUGGUGGUAAGCAAGGACAGUAGUUUAUAUCCCAUUUGUGAUUCCCUCCUGCAAUGGUUGGAUGCCAUCCAUUGAGUAAUUUCUGAUGAUGACUUUAAUCCUCCACUAGUUGCUUUGGCAUUGAGCGUGAUUUGUUCUACAUUGGAUGUUUCGGCUCUAAACGUGAUCUAACUUUUUGUCGAUCACUUUAGCACCAUGCUUGAUUUGACUAUCUAUCAGCGACUUAGACUUGAGUGUGAUUUGACCCCAUCGAUUGGUCAGAGUAUGUGAUUUGUUUAUGUUCAGAGAGUACCACUCAAUGACUACAAUUUGAACUAUAAGCAUAUGAUAUAGCCUCGAGUAGGCAGAGAUAAGUUUGGACUCGAUGUGAUACCUUGGCAACUAUGGUGUGCCUAUAGAGAUUAACUUUAAAAUGGCUUCAAGGGUAAGUUUAAUUCAUUAUGCCCUAUUUAUGGAGACAUAGUAGCAUAAAUGUGAUUUGUAAAAUUUGUGGAAUACUUUUAAGGAUGAAUGAUAUGCCUUUAAUGUUGGAGAUGCUUAUUUGAAUACUUUGGUUUCAUU